rnacentral:rRNA from 1 species
AGUCACUGACAUUAGAUACCCGUGUAGUCCAGGGUGUAAACGCUGCAGACUUGGUGUUGGAAGUCCUUUGGGGGCAUUCAGUGCCGGAGAGAAGUUGUUAAGUCUGCUACUUGGGAGUACGUCCGCAAGGAUGAAACUUAAAGGAAUUGGCGGGGGAGCACCGCAACGGGAGGAGCGUGCGGUUUAAUUGGAUUCAACACCGUAAAACUCACCAGGGAAGACUGUUACAUGAAAGCCGAGAUGAAGACUCUGCUAGAUUUUCAG